UACAGAGGUCCCGAGCGUUGUUCGGAUUCACUGGGCGUAAAGGGUGCGUAGGUGGCAUGGAAAGUUUGAUGUGAAAGCUCAGGGCUUAACCCUGAAAUGGCAUUGAAUACUGCCGUGCUGGAGGUUUGGAGGGGGGACUGGAAUUCUUGGUGUAGCAGUGAAAUGCGCAGAUAUCAGGAGGAACACCAAUGGCGAAGGCAGCACUCUGGGACGUGACUGACGCUGAGACGCGAAAGCGUGGGGAGCAAACAGG
rnacentral:rRNA from 1 species